CCCUCCUCCGUGCGCGUAACCUGAGCACGGAGAUGGGCCCUGGGUAAAAAUAAUGCCGCUGAGAAGGUCCUGGCUGAGCAGCCCCAGCACAUGUGAACAGGUCUGCUGUGCCCAUCAUCCAGCUUGUUCAGUGGAGUGUGGAUGUAAAGUGAAUGUCCAGCAAAACUGAGAAAUCUAGCCUUAAAACAAGUGGAAAGAAACUAAGAAGAGAACCACAGA